rnacentral:lncRNA from 1 species
CGGAAGAAUGUGCUAAAUAUAGUAGUCAACCUUUGAAGUGGAUCAAAAAAGUUAAGAUUUUACAUAGAUAGUAACUUAAAUAGCCAAAUCAAAAGACAGUGUGAGUUCACAUGCAGGAACUAUUUUCUUUCGCGGAACAACACGGAAAGGCAAUUCUUCUGAGUAACCCCAGAGUGCAGUCUGGACGAUGGGGCGGGGCGACACUUCGAGGCGGAGCGACACGUGUCGCCCCGCCCAUAUUUGUUUUCCCCGCCUUUGACAUUUUCCUCCGAGCCAGCAGGGGGCAGUUUGCGUUGAAACAAACAGAACGGUGGCAACUACAGCAGCAGAGUAAUAACGCUAUUCCGUUGAUUGCUUGAGGUGAGUAAAAGUGGUUGUGUAAAUAUCUUAUAAUAUGAAAUGCGAUGUUCGAUCAUUUAUUUAUCCAUGGUACGUUCAAUUUGAAUAAUUAUUGUUAAUAAUUGUUAUAAAUUGCUCAUUGUAUUGUUCUUUGUGGAUUGUAACAGUACACUCUGUACAUGGCUUUAGUUCAUAGGUUCGAUUUUACAGAGGUAUGGCAUCACAUUUGUCAAGUUAUUUGAACAGACAUGCAUGAUUUUUGUGUGUAUAUUAUUAUUAUUAUUAUUUUUCAGGAUGACAUGAUCAGGAGGUGGUGGUGUUCUGUUCUCCUGGACAGCUUUACUCCGCAAAUAGCUCAACCACUGAGGGGAGGAACUUCACCAUUCACCAUGUCUUCAGGCAUAGUCCAGCAAAGCAGGUUAUUACAUUCAUUAAGAACUAAUAAUUACAUAUGUGUGUACAUGCAGAGGUAUUUUAGUUAUUACAGCUACAUAGUUGUUCAGAUGUGAAAUUGGUAUUAUGUACAAGUACUAUAUUGGUCAAUACUGUGGAUUAUUUAAUAUAUAACUAUCAGUUAACAUCAGCAUCAAAGACAUUUAAAAACAUUUCAGCUUAAUUCAUUUUCAGACAGCAGCAAGUUUUUUAAAUAACUUCUGUUUGCGAUCUAAUGUGGAUUUUGUUCACCAUAUAAGAUAGAAAUAUUUAUAUUCAAUGUAAAAGAUCUUCAUGUGGAUCAUGCAUACAAAUAUAUACAAAUAUCUCACUGGAUUAUUACAAUUAAUGGCAAAAUGAAUGUGUGGAAAUGUAAACUAAUAUAUCCUACUGACACACAACAGCAAAAGAUAUAAAUAAUUGGCUUAAAACAGUUUUUUUUUUCAAUGUGAUUUUUCAAUGUGAAAAUACUAACACUAAUACUUCUGCACAAUACUGUAUAUAUUAACAUUUUAUUAGUGUUAUUAUAAAAGAAUGAGUAUGCAGUUGUGACAACAAUCUAUAGAGUUUUUAAUGAGAGUUUUAAAGCAAGGUUGUCUGUAUUCAGUGUUUAUAUAAUGUUUAAUAACUUUUAUAUACAUGUAUAAAUAAACCUAUGUAUGUUUUUGAUUCAACAGCUUCCACUGGAAAUCCUCAGGGAAGUUAUUUUGUCGGCGGGUGACUCUGCAUAUUUGACACUUUCUCUGGUUUGCAGAUGGUUUAGGGUUGUGCUCCGAAGUUUUUCGGAAAGCGGCACAGUUUGCCUGGCUAGAGAGUAAGAUUUCCCCGUUUAAUGCUCAUUCUCCAAUUGAAUUUUGUAGUAGAAGGCUGUUAAACUUUUUUUGUAUUAUUAUUAUUAUCUUUCAUGUAUUUUGUCUUUACACUAUAAGUUGUGGCCAACUGGAAGAAUUGUCCUCCUGUCUCCUGACCGGAACGAGUUCAGAUGGAUGUACAGCAUCGCUUGCAGUGCAGAGCCCUUUUCAAGUUUAACCCACCAGGGUACAGGGAAGAGACCGGCGUGGUGAUCUUCUGGGCUUUUGUUUACAUAGGAUUUUGUUCCAAGGACUGUUUGUUUGUUUUUUUGUUUUUUUUGCGGCAUGAAACACAUUUGUGUGUUAAGUUCAUUGAAGGGAAAUAGAGAAUGGGCUGAGAUCAACUGGUUUUGAUUAUUAAUUGAUGUAAUUUAAAGUUAAACUUUGCACUGUAUAAUGUUUUAAUAAAAAAGCUAUGGAAAACACGUGCAUGACAACAGGUUUCAGUCAUUUACAUCAGUCUAUCAUUCUUUAAGGUUUCUCAUAUUUGAUGAUAACAUGAUUUGCUAUGCAUUGCUCAUAAUGGAUUCUUAGUUUAGUUGUGACAGGAUUGUGAGGAUUAAUGAGGUUUUCAGUAGUGCAGUUCAGAAAACAAAUAACAGAAAGUAACAAGUGUUUUUGGGCAAGUUCUUUAGAACCUGUAUAGUUCCUUCCUUGCAAAAAGUAACCAUGGAUUUAUUGUAGUAAAAAUAUUUGUUGGCACAUUAAUUACUGUGAGCUGUAAUUAUAAAAACACCAUAGUUUUACUAUAGUUACUGUAGCAGAACCAUGGUAAAUUUUCGUAGGGGCCAAGGGAAUGUUCAGAAUAUUAUUGGUGACGUUCAGAGACUGGUGACAAUUUGUUACACACACACACACACACAUAUAUAUAUAUAUAUAUAUAUAUAUACACACACACACACACACACAUAUAUGUAUAUAUAUAUAAUUUGAAUAUAUAAAUCAAGGUACUCCAUGACUAUCUACGUAACCAUACUUCGCAUAAUAUUGCCGUGUCAUUUUCAAACCAGCGAGUAAUGCCGAGGUAGCGUCUACACUACAGCCAUUGAGGGAGUAGACCAUUUAUUUUUAUUCUGUUCGUCGUAAUCCAAAACUCUUUGUAUUUAUACGGGAUGUUGUGGAAAUGCAACAAUAAAUGCAAAAACACAACAUGUAUAUUCACUUUUUAAUUUAUAUUAAAAGUUUAUUCAUCUUAGUGUCUACUUCCGCAUUCCAAUCCUGCUAAUAGCGUCAUAAUUCUCUAUACCAAUAAGCUGUAAAAUCGUCACUCAUCUGUACACCAAUAAGCUCAUCUUAAUCAUAAACCAAUAACCGCUGAGGUGGGCGGGGCGACACGUGUCGCUCCGCCCCAACGUGUCGCCCCGCCCCAUCGUCCAGACUGCACUCUGGGAUACUUGAUUCUUCUCACAGAUGGAUUUUAAUUGAUACACAAUGGAGCGCGUUACAAAUGACAGGUGUUCCUCGGUAAUAAUUAAAGUCGCACAAAAACAGUCCCAACGGGGUGGAGCCCGCUUGCAGCUACACUGAAGGAUAUGCUUAUGUGCUCCACAUUACAGCAGGUAAUUUUAACUAACAUUGUUUCCUCAGAGGGCUUUAGUUUUAAUAAUGCACUUUAAAUGUAGCUAUUUUUACCUUUCGCCCAUUUUGUUUUAAUAAUGCACUUUAAAGGUAGCUAUUUUUACUUUUUGCCCAUCAGCCACAAUUGCUGGCGAGUGCCCAAAUAAGGAUUCACAGAUAUGGUCUUUUCAUAUAGGCUUCUAUAAAUAACCCUAAUGGCACUGAACGCGGAGCAACAAAUCAUGUGUUGUUCUUUUGCGCGUUUUAACAAUUUUAAAUGAACUGAACUAAAUGUAAUCCUCGUGAGGACGAAGGCAUUCCCGUAGCCUUAAAUCGGCUUCAGGAAUCUGUGUAGGCCUAUUUGUGCUCCUACCAAUCUUAUUAUCUUUUCCCCAACAUUUCAAAGUAAGAUUCCUGCUGUUAACAUGAACUACAUUAGUAAACAUGAAACAACAAUGAAAAAUACUUCCAAAGUAUUUAGUUAUCAUAGUAUUAAUUUCAACAUUUACUAAUAUAUUAUUAAAAUCAAAAUCUGUAUCUGUUCAUUUCAUUUAAUGGACAUAAACUUAACUAACAACUAACAGCUGUACUUUCAGAACAAUGUAACAAGUGAUAUUUCAAGUUUCUCUGAUCAUAAGAUGCUCUU